GCUUCUAUCGUCUAGUUGGUUAGGACGUAGGUCUCAUAUUAUCCAGAUAUGAGCUCUAAUGCGAGUACAUCCUGCAACCGGAGUUCGAAUCUCCGUGGAGGCA